rnacentral:rRNA from 1 species
UACGUAGGGUGCGAGCGUUAAUCGGAAUUACUGGGCGUAAAGCGUGCGCAGGCGGUUCGUUGUGUCGGCGGUGAAAGCCCCGGGCUUAACCUGGGAAUGGCCGUCGAAACUGGCGAACUGGAGUGUGGCAGAGGGGGGUGGAAUUCCGCGUGUAGCAGUGAAAUGCGUAGAGAUGCGGAGGAACACCGAUGGCGAAGGCAGCCCCCUGGGCUGACACUGACGCUCAGGCACGAAAGCGUGGGAGCAAACAGG